UGAACGGUAAGAACCCCAUUUUCAAGAGAAGGAGGAGGAAGAAGAAGAGGAGGAGAAAGCAACACUAGCAGCCACAGCAGAAGGGAAAAAACAGAGGAGAAUCUCUUUCGUAGAACAUCAGAACAGAUGGGAUGCGAGCAGAUGAAAUACAAGAUGGAGGCAAAUGCUGUUAUUUCAAAAUGGAACUUUUUAUAAGGUUUUUGCAUUAAGUUUGGCACAGUUUGCAUUAAUUUGUCAUUAAAGCAUUAUGAAG